CCCGCCCUGCAUUCACAGAUCGCUGGCCGGCCGUUAGCCUCGGGCCUCCGGCUGUCUGGAGCUCCGACCCUGCUCCCCUCCCCCGCUGCCGAACGCGCUGCUCUGCGGCACGUGCUGGACAAAGGGGAAACCUUUACAGCGAGGAUCCUGUCACCAUGGCAGAGAAGCAGCUGCCAUUGAUGUGGCAUAGGCAAGGUUUUCAAGAGCUCCUCAGGAUUUGGCUGACUUUGAAGCCCUACCAUCUGUCACCGACUUUAUUAUCAGAUCCAAGAGAAACCCAGCCUCUGAAUGACUGUCCCUCUGCAGAGACAAGGCAAGGUUCCCAUUGAGUGUCAAUGAAAAGUUUAUAUUGAACACAGCCAGGUUUCUAUCCAUGGUCAAAGUUGACGAGCGCCUCAUGGUUCUGGGCUUCAUGGAAGAUUCACCCAGCAUUGUUCAUAACAUCACUGGGAAAAUGAAAAUAUAAAGGGGAAUGAAUAAUAAAAGCCGUUUACUACCA